AUUGAACGCUGGCGGCAGGCUUAACACAUGCAAGUCGAGCGGGGGAGGUUGCUUCGGUAACUGACCUAGCGGCGGACGGGUGAGUAAUGCUUAGGAAUCUGCCUAUUAGUGGGGGACAACAUCUCGAAAGGGAUGCUAAUACCGCAUACGUCCUACGGGAGAAAGCAGGGGACCUUCGGGCCUUGCGCUAAUAGAUGAGCCUAAGUCGGAUUAGCUAGUUGGUGGGGUAAAGGCCUACCAAGGCGACGAUCUGUAGCGGGUCUGAGAGGAUGAUCCGCCACACUGGGACUGAGACACGGCCCAGACUCCUACGGGAGGCAUCAGUGGGGAAUAUUGGACAAUGGGGGGAACCCUGAUCCAGCCAUGCCGCGUGUGUGAAGAAGGCCUUUUGGUUGUAAAGCACUUUAAGCGAGGAGGAGGCUACUGGUAUUAAUACUACCGGAUAGUGGACGUUACUCGCAGAAUAAGCACCGGUUAACUCUGUGCCAGCAGCCGCCGUAA
rnacentral:rRNA from 1 species